UCGCCAUGAUAUAUUUAAGCGAAAAGCGGCCGGAUAUGUUGAGGUGGUUCAAAGCAACGGUCACAGCGUGUCUUUGUCAUUUGGGGCGGUGAGUGAUUGUAGGAGGAAGGGAAGGUUGCCACCUCUUUCCUUGAGGAGUCCAGAGACACAGAGGGGCAGAGCCGCGCCGCAUGGAGUGGGCGCUAGGGAGGGAGGGACUGCUCCCUUCUCCGGAGGGCCGCAGGGCUGCUCCUCCGGAGCCUCCUCCGGCCCUGGCACCGGCCCCGGCCGCUCUGCCUCGCCAGAACACGAAAACCCUCCCCCGCCGGGGCUGGAGACACUCGGCUUUCUAUCUGCAGCAUCAGCGAGAAAGCCCAGCUCGGCGCAGGCUCAGUGCUCACCGCCGCAGUCCCGGACGGAGGAGGGGGGUUCGGGAGAGCAGCAUCUUCCCAGCGGGUUAAGUAGGAUUAAUACCAAAUCCCCAUUAUAUUUGCCAAGCAACUUGAAUUUGUCAAAAUUCCCCCUCGCUGUUCUGGAGCUCUGUGAGGAAGAAAUUUUGCUCACAGUGUAAGAUCCAGACGUGCCAGUAGGUAGGAAUACCAGCAUACUGCAUUACACAGGCUCCCUGCGCUGGAAAUACAACUGCGAACCGCAGGUCCCGCUGUUCCCGUCCCUUUGUGUUUUUAAACGCAGCCAGGAAACUUAAUGUAUUCGCCAGGGAAGGGGCGGGAUGAGAGCGCUUUUAACCUCCCCGCCAUAAACUUUAAUCGGAUUCCAGGCUGUUGCACGGCAUGGACGCUCCCCUUCUUGCCUGCGUCUCCUUCCCCGUUGUUUCUACUACGAUCUCCUUGCGAGUGCCUCUUUCAAGCGAAUGAGUGAUUUCUUUCUCUUGCCAUGUGCAAUUGCUCCCCCUUCCUUUCCUACCCUCGCUGGCCUCUCUUACACACACUAUGCCUUUCACACGCGGUCUGCGCCCCCCAGUCCCCCCCUCCUUUCCUUCUUUUUUGCAGUGUCUUCACAUGCAAUCUCUCUCUGAAUGUGCAAUGUCUUUCCUGCUCGGGAGUGCUGCGUCCUUCACAGUGGAUUGGUUCCUCUUUCGGAGCAGAGUUCACAAUUUUCCAGCAUGCUUCUUAUGGUGAAAGAAACUCAUUUCAAAGGAAGGAAGAAAGGAAGAAGAAAUAUCUCUUUCAAGUGUUGCUGGAAGGAGUGGCUCAAUGUUCUAAAGAUGAUGGAAAUGUCUGAAUUUGCUGAGCCAGUGAUUUAAAUUGAGCAGAGUCCAGAAAAGGAAAGGGGAGAAAGGUUAUCUGCUUUAUUUGCUUUUCCUUAUUCACACAGAAUCAAAGAUUUCAUCCUUCUCUUAGAAGUAUUGAGGGGUCAAGGAUUGUGCAGCUUCCUAAGGGUUAUUAAGUGACAAUGUGUGCAUUUGGAUGGAAAGGAUGGGAAUAAGUUCUAAAACCAAUGCUCUGAACAACAAGCAGCUGCAACUCAAUAUAUGUAAAAAAUAAUGAAAGCAAGCUGAAUAGUGUAAACUUCAGUGAAAAAGUCAUCUCUUGAGAUGCAAUCUUCUUGCAAAGCUCUUGAAUGAUUAAUGGAAAUGGUAUUUCACUAGUGGUUGUUUUUUGAAGUGGGUCAAGAACACAUAUGUUUAUAACACACACAGAAAUGAUGUUAAAUUUUAAAGCUAUGAGAAAUUCACAAGAGCCAGACAUAUUUAGGAUUAAAACUUUGACUGUGUCCACAGUACAUUCCCCCUGUGCCUUCAUAAUUGCAAUGUUGUUAAGGCCUGAAAUCAGUGCUUUUAUGUUACAAGUUAAAGA